GCGGAAGGGAAGCUCAAUAUUGAGGUUACGCACGGAGUGCGUCGCUGAUGUGACGUCACUCACAACUCUCCUCGGGGAAGGUCUGAGAGAAGAGCCCAAUGCCAUCCUUGCAGGGUGUCGCUCGAAACGCAGGGCGAGUGAGUCCCCAGAAACACCACGCAGGAGUGGAACGGUCCGCAGCGUGGCGUGGCAACAUGCAGGAGAAGCCGAGCGGCGCGCGGCUGGGAAGGGGCUGGGCCACCGACCUGAGGUCCAGCCCCGGAUCACGCGCGCCGCCCUGUGGAUGCAGUCACCCACCUGGGCUUUGGAAGUGGCUCACGGCUUGCACACUCAGUUCAAUGGCUGAGGCGGGGCAGUGCACGGGAUGUGUGCGCGCCUCGCAACCCAAUUCAGACUACUCUCCCACCGC
rnacentral:RNase_P_RNA from 1 species